AUUGAACGCUGGCGGCAGGCCUAACACAUGCAAGUCGAGCGGAGGGGCGGACGGGUGAGUAAUGCCUAGGAAUCUGCCUGGGCGUGGGGGAUAACGUCCGGAACCGGGGGCUAAUACCGCAUACUCUCAGAUGAGCCUAGGUCGGAUUAGCUAGUUGGGGGGGGAAAGGCCUACCAAGGCGACGAUCCCUAGCUGGUCUGAGAGGAUGACCAGCCACACUGGAACUGAGACACGGUCCAGACUCCUACGGGAGGCAGCAGUGGGGAAUAUUGCACAAUGGGCGCAAGCCUGAUGCAGCCAUGCCGCGUGUAUGAAGAAGGCCUUCGGGUUGUAAAGGACUUUCAGCGGGGAGGCGUUACCCGCAGAAAAAGCCCCGGCUAACUCCGUGCCAGCCGCCGCGGUAAUAC
rnacentral:rRNA from 1 species